GUUAAAUGUUCUUCGUGAACAUAGCGAACUGCUCAGUAACACGGUGGAUAACCUACCCUUAGGACCGGAAUAACCCCGGGAAACUGGGGAUAAUACCGGAUAAGCCAUAUACGCUGGAAUGCCCUAUGGUUCAAAGCUCCGGCGCCUAAGGAUGGAUCUGCGGUCUAUCAGGUUGUAGUGGGUGUAACGUACCUACUAGCCGACGACGGAUACGGGUUGUGAGAGCAAGAGCCCGGAGAUGGAUUCUGAGACACGAAUCCAGGCCCUACGGGGUGCAGCAGGCGCGAACACUUUACAAUGCGGGAAACCGCGAUAAGGGAACCCCGAGUGCCAGCAUCAAAUGUUGGCUGUCCAGAUGAUUAAAAAUCAUUUGUUAGCAAGGGCCGGGCAAGACCGGUGCCAGCCGCCGCGGUAACACCGGCGGCCCGAGUGGUAGCCGUUUUUAUUGGGUCUAAAGGGUCCGUAGCCGGCGUGAUAAGUCCUUUGGGAAAUCUGGCAGCUUAACUGUCAGGCUUCUAAGGGAUACUGUCAGGCUUGGGACCGGAAGAGGUAAGGGGUACUCCAGGGGUAGGAGUGAAAUCUUGUAAUCCCUGGGGGACC
rnacentral:rRNA from 1 species